AGUUUAAUAAAAUUUUACAAUUUAAUCCUAAAAGUACAAAUUGUCAGCAAGUAAAUCAGACCUUUUUUAUUUAGAAUUAAAUUUCCUAAAAAAAAUCUUUUACAAUUUUUCCGAAUCUGCAAUAUUAAACCCACAAUUAAAAAAGUUCCAAAAAUUCUUACCUUGACGGGGUAGGGACGGUCCACAUGAACUGGGUAUGGUUUUGGAACCGGGUAUGGAACUGGAACAGCUUUGACAUGUACGGUGUGAUGUUCAUGGUGUCCCAAAUCGUGUCCGUAGUAUCCGUGGUCUAAACCGUGACCG